GACGUAGGAGGCGAGCGUUAUCCGGAUUCACUGGGCGUAAAGCGCAUGUAGGCGGUUGGACAAGUCGUGUGUUAAAGCCCCUGGCUCAACUGGGGGAGGUCAUGCGAGACUGUGCGACUUGAGGGCAAGAGAGGCACGUGGAACUCCCGGUGUAGCGGUGGAAUGCGUAGAGAUCGGGAGGAACACCAGUGGCGAAGGCGGCUCACUGGGCCGAGCCUGACGCUGAGACGCGAAGGCGUGGGGAGCGAACGGG
rnacentral:rRNA from 1 species